CCUACGGGAGGCUGCAGUGAGGAAUAUUGGUCAAUGGGCGGAAGCCUGAACCAGCCAAGUAGCGUGCGGGAUGAAGGCCCUACGGGUCGUAAACCGCUUUUGCACGGGGAUAACACCCUCCACUAGUGGAGGUCUGCAGGUACCGUGCGAAUAAGGGCCGGCUAAUUCCGUGAAAGCAGCCGCGGUAAUACGGAAGGCCCGAGCGUUAUCCGGAUUCAUUGGGGUAAUGGGGAGCGUAGGCGGGCGUUCAAGUCAGCUUUAAAAGCGCGCGGGUCAACCGAGCCCAGCAGUUGAAACUGGACGCCUUGAGUUCACAACAGGCAGGCGGAAUUCGUGGUGUAGCGGUGAAAUGCAUAGAUAUCACGAGGAACCCCGAUUGCGAAGGCAGCCUGCCGGGGUGCGACUGACGCUGAGGCUCGAAGGUGCGGGUAUCAAACAGGAUUAGAUACCCGGGUAGUC
rnacentral:rRNA from 1 species